GGGUUGUUGAAGUAGUGAAAGUGUGAAACCAAGCCGUUCGACCACAUAUUUUUCUUCGGUCGAUCAGAGAGAAAGAAGGGAUUGUCGGCUGGAGGCAGAAUAAUGGCGGUUCCGGAAGCACCUCUACGCUUUGUGGGCGUUCCUAAGAACUCCGCCGCCUUUCGCCUCAUGAAACAAAUGGGGUGGGAAGAAGGGGAAGGUCUAGGCAAGGACAAACAAGGGAUUAAAGGUUAUGUUAGGGUUACCAACAAGCAAGAUACUCUUGGUGUUGGUUUAGAGAAGCCAAACGCGUGGGCGUUUGAUACUACACAGUUCGAUAACAUUCUUAAAAAAUUGAAAGUGCAAGCAGCAGAAAUUAAAAAUGACAAAGCUACGGGAGAGGACGGUGACCAAAAAACAAAUCCGGCCAAGGACCGCAGUGAAACGGUUAUCAAGUCUACACGUCCUCAAGGAAGAUACAAGAGAAGGGAGAGAGGAAAACUUGUCGACACAUAUUCUGCUAAGGAUCUUGAAGAAAUUCUUGUCAAAAAGGUAGAUGAUAGUGCUGAGCCCGAGCCCGAGCUUGCUAAUUGUCAGUCUCGAGACUCAGAUUUGGUAGAAGCAUCUGAUAAUACUGAAGAAGUCGAAGAUGAAAAAGAAAUUUCCCGGGAGUGGUGGGGUAACAAAUUUGGAUUUGUAUCGGGUGGGUUACUUGGAGCUCAAUCCAAGAGAAAGAAGUCUCUUACAAAUCAAGGCUGUAACAAGAGGACUGCAUUUCAUGAGGAUGAUCAAGAAAAUCUUUACAAACUUGUACAAGAUAAAGCAACUUCUGGAAAACAGGGACUUGGUAUAAAGGAUCGUCCAAGAAAAGUAGCCGGGGUGCACUUUCAAGGUAAGAAAACGUCAUUCAGCGAUAGUGAGAGCGAAGAGUCUGAAUCUGAACCGGAACCGGAACCUGAACCCGAAGAUAAUAAUGGAAAAUCGAAGUUUACAUCAGAAUCAGAAAAACGUAGUGAAUCUAAGCUGAAGCUAAAGAAGCUGUGCACAAAGCUUCUUUCGCAAGAACCUGAGAGGUCAUUGAAGCUUAAACAACUUAUGGCUCUUGUUGAUGAACAUCAUUCAAUCUUUAACAACUUCUCUUCGAAAAAGCACGCUCUUGCAUUUUUUAAAAACAAGCUUGAAAGCAGUUCAAAGUUUAUCGUCGAAGGAAAGAGAGUUCGUCUCUCGUCAAAAUGAGAACAGUUCUGACAAAGUUGAGUGUAGAGAUUUGCCAAUACACGUAUUCCGGUUUUGUUACAAAUUCAGAUUUUGUAGCAGGGACUGAAGUAGCGAUACGCCAUCCAGCGUGCCAUACGUCAAACGCACUGUCUUACGCCUAGUAUACACUCAAAUUUGCUUAAAACUUGUGAUGUAUCAUGUAUGCGUAGUUGGUGAUCAAUUUUUGUUUGGAUUUAUUAUUUAGAUUUUUUUAGGGAUGUACUUAGCAAAGCUAAUAUAUAUUUACAAUGUCUACUUUAUGGUAA